GACGAGCGCUGGCGGCGUGCUUAACACAUGCCAGUCGAACGGAAAGGCCCUGCUUUUGUGGGGUGCUCGAGUGGCGAACGGGUGAGUAACACGUGAGUAACCUGCCCUUGACUUUGGGAUAACUUCAGGAAACUGGGGCUAAUACCGGAUAGGAGCUCCUGCUGCAUGGUGGGGGUUGGAAAGUUUCGGCGGUUGGGGAUGGACUCGCGGCUUAUCAGCUUGUUGGUGGGGUAGUGGCUUACCAAGGCUUUGACGGGUAGCCGGCCUGAGAGGGUGACCGGACACAUUGGGACUGAGAUACGGCCCAGACUCCUACGGGAGGCAGCAGUGGGGAAUAUUGCACAAUGGGCGGAAGCCUGAUGCAGCAACGCCGCGUGCGGGAUGACGGCCUUCGGGUUGUAAACCGCUUUCGCCUGUGACGAAGCGUGAGUGACGGUAAUGUGUAAAGAAGCACCGGCUAACUACGUG
rnacentral:rRNA from 1 species